CCAUGCACGUCUAAGUACUAACUCAGUGCACAGUGAAACCGCAGAUGGCUCAUUAAAUCAGUCACGAUUUGCUAGACAAUGUCUGCCUUGGAUAACUUUGGCAAUUCUAGAGCUAAUACAUGCCCAGAGUCUCGGACCUCCGGGGACGAGCGCACUUAUUAGACCGCAAACCAUUUAUUUGGUUGGGUGACUCUAGAUAAAGCUGCUGAUUCGCGCGGGUCUCGCACCAGCGACGAGUCUUAUAAGCGUCUGCCUUAUCAACUAGAUGGUAGGGUAACGGCCUACCAUGGUUGUGACGGGUGACGGGGAAUCAGGGUUCGAUUCCGGAGAGGCAGCCUGAGAGACGGCUACCACAUCCAAGGAAGGCAGCAGGCACGAAAAUUACCCAAUCCCCGAACGGGGAGGUAGUGACGAGAAGUAACGAUGCGGGACUCUUACGAGGCCCCGUAAUUGGAAUGAGUGGAGUGCAAAAGACUCCCACGAGAAACUAUUGGAGGGCAAGUCUGGUGCCAGCAGCCGCGGUAAUUCCAGCUCCAAUAGCGUAUAUUAAAGAUGCUGUGGUUAAAAAGCUCGUAGUUGGACGUCAGUCUCGGGCGAGCGGUCCGCCCUCCCGGGGCGGCCACUGCUCGUUUCGGACUGUGUUGCAUGCCACCCCCGAUGCUCUUGACCGGGUGUCGGUCUGGGUCAGGCAGGCGAACGUACUUUGAAAAAAUCAGAGUGCUCAAAGCAGGCGUCACACCGCCUUGAAUAUCUAAGCAUGGAAUAUGAGAACAGGACCUCGCGUCCGGUUUUUAUGGUUUGAGGAGACGAGGUAAUGAUUAAUUGGGACUGCCGGGGGCAAACGUAUUGCGAGGCGAGAGGUGAAAUUCUUGGACCCUUGCAAGACGACCUAAAGCGAAAGCAUUUGCCAAGAAUGUUUUCAUUAAUCAAGAACGAAAGUUAGAGGUUCGAAGGCGAUCAGAUACCGCCCUAGUUCUAACUAUAAACGAUGUCGACCAGCGAUCAGCGUGCGUUCCUCCAAUGACGCCGCUGGCAGCUUCCCGGGAAACCAGAGUCUCUGGAUUCCUGGGGAAGUAUGGUUGCAAAGCUGAAACUUAAAGGAAUUGACGGAAGGGCACCACCAGGAGUGGAGCCUGCGGCUUAAUUUGACUCAACACGGGGCAGCUCACUCGGCCCGGACACUCGAAGGAUUGACAGAUUGAUAGCUCUUUCUUGAUUGAGCGGUUGGUGGUGCAUGGCCGUUCUUAGUUGGUGGAGUGAUUUGUCUGGUUAAUUCCGAUAACGAACGAGACUCUGGCCUGCUAAAUAGAAAGUCGAGUGACCGUCCUCGGCUUUGUCCUAUCUUCUUAGAGGGACGAGCGGCUCAUAGCCGCAAGAAGUGGAGCGAUAACAGGUCUGUGAUGCCCUUAGAUGUCCGAGGCUGCACGCGGGCUACACUGGAGGGAGCAAUGGGUCGGUACGUCCGAGGCCGCAAGGUCCGGGUAAUCCGCUCAAAUCUCCCCGUGAAAGGGACUGGGGCUUGAAACUGUAGCCCACGAACGAGGAAUUCCUGGUAAGGGCGAGUCAUCAGCUCGUCCUGACUAAGUCCCUGCCCUUUGUACACACCGCCCGUCGCUACUACCGAUUGAAUGGUUCAGUGAGGGCUUUCGACCGGAGCCUGGCGAGACGCCCUGCGUGGCUGUCGAGCCUGCUGCACCGGGAAGCUGACCGAACUUGACCAUUUAGAGGAAGUAAAAGUCGUAACA
rnacentral:rRNA from 1 species